rnacentral:rRNA from 1 species
UACGAAGGGGGCUAGCGUUGCUCGGAAUCACUGGGCGUAAAGCGCACGUAGGCGGCGUCUUAAGUCAGGGGUGAAAUCCUGGAGCUCAACUCCAGAACUGCCUUUGAUACUGAGAUGCUUGAGUCCGGGAGAGGUGAGUGGAACUGCGAGUGUAGAGGUGAAAUUCGUAGAUAUUCGCAAGGACACCAGUGGCGAAGGCGGCUCACUGGCCCGGUACUGACGCUGAGGUGCGAAAGCGUGGGGAGCAAACAGG